rnacentral:rRNA from 1 species
CAUCCCGAACACGGAAGUUAAGCCCACCUGCGUAUCGGGUAGUACUGGAGUGCGCGAGCCUCUGGGAACACCGAUUCGCCGCCUCGC